GUGAGGAUUUUGCGCAUGGGGGUAACCCUGNCGCAGCAACGCCGCGUGAGUGAAGAGGGCUUUCGGGUCGUAAAGCUCUGUCAAGUGGGAAGAACCCGCAUCAGGUCAACAGGCUGAUGCGCUGACGGUACCACUGAAGGAAGCACCGGCUAACUCCGUGCCAGCAGCCGCGGUAAUACNGGAGGGUGCAAGCGUUAUUCGGAAUUACNUGGGCGUAAAGGGCGCGCAGGCGGCUGGAUAAGUCAGUAGUGAAAGCCCAGGGCUCAACCCUGGAAGUGCUGCUGAAACUGUUUAGCUUGAGUAUGGUAGAGGGAAGUGGAAUUCCUGGUGUAGCGGUGAAAUGCGUAGAUAUCAGGAGGAACACCGGUGGCGAAGGCGGCUUCCUGGACCAAUACUGACGCUGAGGCGCGAAGGCGUGGGUAGCAAACAGGAUUAGAUACCCUGGUAGUCCACGCAGUAAACGGUGAUCACUAGGUGUUGCGGGUAUUGAUACCUGCAGUGCCGGAGCUAACGCAUUAAGUGAUCCGCCUGGGGAGUACGGCCGCAAGGUUAAAACUCAAAGGAAUUGACGGGGGCCCGCACAAGCGGUGGAGCAUGUGGNUUAAUUCGACGCAACGCGCAGAACCUUACCAGCCCUUGACAUGAUGGNUAAAGCCAGGUGAGAGCUUUGGUGUUNCUUUCGGANGGCAUCACAGGUGCUGCAUGGNUGUCGUCAGCUUGNGUCGNNAGAUGUUGGGGUUAAGNCC
rnacentral:rRNA from 1 species